rnacentral:lncRNA from 1 species
UCAAGGUGUCAUCGAGUAUAUUUGAUGGCAUGAGCCAACUGUUUAUGAAAGUCAUAAGCCCUAAUGAGAAAUUAAAUGAAAUACAACCGUUUGCAUGGGUUGGGAUGAAUUUUCAAAUUGUGAAAUACUUAAAAUGAUGGGAUAUUUUAAUUGUCUCCUUUUACUCGGCUUUAGCUGAUUUAAAUGGUGUUUGUUUACUCACUAGGAUUUUAUAAUCUCACCACCCUCCUUUCCACCCAUUUCAGGAUCAGAGUAGGCUGUAGAUAGCUGGUUCCAUCGGGGAUUUCCAUUGGAUUGCGUCUUCCAAACUGUAGGUUCACAGCUUCUUUAAUUUUGGUUAUUGUGGGCCCACUUGAUAUUGUAAAUUUAAAUUAAUUUAAAUACUCCAGUUUAUUACGUUACAGUAUGAAUGAAUUUAUUUUGUUUUUACGUUACAAAAAAUAUUUACGCAUAACUCCAAAAUUUCUGUAUAUAAGAGAAUAAAAUAUUUUAUUGAAUAUUUCGUUUUAUCUUCUUAUUAUAUUCAAAUAAUUAUAAUUUCAUUUUG